UUAUUUUCUGUCUUCUUCCCCAAUUUCUUCACCGAGACUUCAGCAACGAAGUCUUCGCCGAGAGUCUGCCAUUUUCAGACGAACUCUCUUGAACUCCAGCCAGCCCGACGUUGACAGCUGACGUCACCAUCUACCACUGGAGCCAUCCCGUCAGCCUACUACUCCCGCCGUCGCCGGUCUGUUACCAACGAUGACUGGGACAAGCUGAUCCUCAAAUGGCUAAAAUUUCCAGCUAAAACAUCAUAAUCGAUUAAAGUUUCCCAAGAGAUACAACGAACACAUGUACACACAGCGAAGAGAGGGAAACAGGGACUUCACUGUAGCGGACUCAAACCGCGGGCAUCGCCGGAAAGGAG
rnacentral:lncRNA from 1 species